rnacentral:misc_RNA from 1 species
GAUGAAGAACGCAGCGAAAUGCGAUAAGUAAUGUGAAUUGCAGAAUUCAGUGAAUCAUCGGAUCUUUGAACGCACAUUGCGCCCGCCAGUAUUCUGGCGGGCAUGCCUGUCUGAGCGUCAUUUCAACCCUCAAGCAACUUCUGCUUGGUGUUGGGGAUCGGCCGUCAAACGCCGCCCCCGAAAUCUAUUGGCGAUCUCGCUGUAGCUUCCUAUGCGUAGUAGUAACAUCUCGCAUCUGGAGAGCGGCGCGGUCAUGCCGUAAAACACCCAACUUCUCAGGUUGACCUCAGAUCAGGUAGGAAUACCCGCUGAACUUAAGCAUAUCAAUAAGCGGAGGA